rnacentral:rRNA from 1 species
AAAAACAUGUCCUCUUGAUUAUAUUUUGAGGUCUGGCCUGCUCACUGAUAAAUUUAAAGAGCCGCGGUAUUUUGACCGUGCAAAGGUAGCAUAAUCAUUAGUCUUUUAAUUAAGGGCUGGAAUGAAUGGCUUGACGAGAAAUUAACUGUCUCUUAAUAAUUUAUAAAAUUUAACUUUUGAGUCAAAAGGCUUAAAUUUUUCUUUAGGACGAGAAGACCCUAUAGAGCUUAACAUAUAAUUUAUAUUUAUACAUUAGAUGGUUUUUUAUAUAUUUAAUGAUAAUGUUUUGUUGGGGUGACAUGAAGAAUCAAUAAACUCUUCAUUAUAAAAUCAUUAAUUUAUGUUUAUUCUUGAUCCAUAAUUUAUGAUCAUAAGAUUAAGUUACCUUAGGGAUAACAGCGUAAUUGUUUUUGAGAGCUCAAAUCAACAAAGCAGAUUGCGACCUCGAUGUUGGAUUAAGAAAAAUUUUGGGUGCAGUAGCUCA